rnacentral:tRNA from 1 species
UCCAACCCAAAUGAAGCGACCAACCACCGGAUCCAACCCAAAUGAAGCGACCAACCACCGGACACUAACCUG